rnacentral:lncRNA from 1 species
UAUAAAUGCUGUGGGUUUCAGAAAUAAAGGCAAUUAUAGAAGCAUUAGCAGAGAAGAUGAAUUUCUUACCUUAAGCUGAUCACAGUCAUUACGUAUAUGAAAGCAACAGAAGGUGUUUUCUACCUGGUGGACAGAAGGUAAAAGGAGACCAUUUGUAGCUGAGAGUUAAGAUUUCAACAUGGCUCUUGUUUUGCUUUAGCAUUAACAGGAAGGGAAACUGGUCUUGAGGAAGAAUAAACAUUUAGGCAAAGUUAUCACUGAUUCUUCCCAAUGCCUCACUCAAUACAUUGAAUCAGUUAGCAAGGACUGUCCAUUUACCUUCACUCCUUGUGCAAAGACAAUCAUUUUUACUCCUUUGCACCUUGGCCAGGGAACAGAAUAACAUUCACCAUGGCUCUCCCCAGCUCCAAAGUCAAGUUCGACCUGUGGUCAUGGGGGAUGUCCACAAUGGUUUGUUAGGUCAUUAAGCUGGGAAAAAAAUUUGGACCAAGGUAUGGUCUGAGCCCAGUUUUUGUAAAAAUAAAGGACCAAAGAAGCACAUUUGUGAUUAACAAUGGAUGUUUUUGUAGCACUGGGGUCUCUCACUGGAAUCACUGCAUCAGUGGUAACAGCCACUAGACUGACCUCCCGAGGAGCCGUCCUUUGCACAAUAGAGAUCUUCUACAAACAUCAGAGGAGAGCGAAGAGGAGCUGUAUUCCUCCUGCCGCCAGCUUCGGAGGCGGCAAGAAGAACUGAACAACCAGCUCUUUCUGUACGACACCCACCAGAACCUGCGCAGCGCCACCCGUGAUGCCAUGGUCAGAGAAUUCAACGUCAACGAGAACCAGCUGCAGCUGUACCAGGAGAAGUGCAACCGCAGGUGGGUCACAGCCUGCAGCCACUGUGAGGUCAGGCCUGGGCCAGGGCGGAGGGCAAGGCUCCCCCUUCAGAAAGCCUGAGCCCUGACCCCUCUUCUCUUGGCUCCAUCAAUUACUUAUACUAAGAGCUCAAGCAUCUGCACCUUCCCUGAGCUGAACUGUCCUCCUGAGCACGCCCAGGAAAGAGUGAAAAUAAGCAAUGACCAUUACUGUU